rnacentral:misc_RNA from 1 species
UUUCCGUAGGUGAACCUGCGGAAGGAUCAUACAUAAUAAAGUGUUUUAUGGCACUUUUUAAAAAUCCAUAUCCACCUUGUGUGCAAUGUUAGAUCUCGUCAAUCUUGGCGAGAUUUUUAUACAUCAACUCAUUUUUUAACUAAUUUGUCUGAAAAAUAUUAUGAAUACUUAAUUCAAAAUACAACUUUCAACAACGGAUCUCUUGGCUCUC